GAGUUUGAUCCUGGCUCAGAACGAACGCUGGCGGCGUGGAUAAGACAUGCAAGUCGAACGGGAGAAUUGCUAGCUUGCUAAUAAUUCUCUAGCGGCGCACGGGUGAGUAACACGUGAGUAACCUGCCCCCGAGAGCGGGAUAGCCCUGGGAAACUGGGAUUAAUACCGCAUAGUAUCGAAAGAUUAAAGCAGCAAUGCGCUUGGGGAUGGGCUCGCGGCCUAUUAGUUAGUUGGUGAGGUAACGGCUCACCAAGGCGAUGACGGGUAGCCGGUCUGAGAGGAUGUCCGGCCACACUGGAACUGAGACACGGUCCAGACACCUACGGGUGGCAGCAGUCGAGAAUCAUUCACAAUGGGGGAAACCCUGAUGGUGCGACGCCGCGUGGGGGAAUGAAGGUCUUCGGAUUGUAAACCCCUGUCAUGUGGGAGCAAAUUAAAAAGAUAGUACCACAAAGAGGAAGAGACGGCUAACUCUGUGCCAGCCGCCGCAGU
rnacentral:rRNA from 1 species